rnacentral:lncRNA from 1 species
GGCCGCCGCGGCGGUGAAAGAAAGAAAAUCAAAGUCGGAAGGAGAGGGAUCGCUUCCCUUCCUGGAUGAGCUUCCUUAGCUCCUUUCGAGCUAUGUAUUUAUUUCGUCAACGGCGUCACGACACCGAGAAGAAAUGGCUACGCACUUGGUGAUUCUCUUGUUCCAUACCAACGACGACGACCAGCAAAACUGCGGAACUCAAGACAGAAGAACCUCGACAGUGCAGCGGGAGAUAGGAAGGUUAAGUUGCACGGAACAUACAUUGUGCUUAAGGAUUUAUUUGGCGUCCGAC